AACGCACCUUGCACCCUUUGGCAUUCCGAAGGGUAUGCUCGUUUGAGUGUCACUGUACUCUCACACUUCCAUGCUUUGCUUGGGAGCGGUGGACUUGGGUGUUGCUGCUUGCUGCGGCUCACCUUAAAUGCAUUAGUGCAACUCCUGGUUGGACAUAGUACGGCGUGAUAAGUGUCUUCGCCGGCACCUCACUAGAGGGUGGCUGAUCGGGAGCUCUGUGCUUCCAACCGUCCUCGGACAACUCUGACAACUUGACCUCAAAUCGAGUAGGACUACCCGCUGAACUUAA
rnacentral:misc_RNA from 1 species